rnacentral:pre_miRNA from 1 species
CCAAGAGAAAGCGUGAAGCUGCCAGCAUGAUCUAACUUGCAGACAAGAAAUCAGCUCGCUGGUUUUUGGACAGGAAGGCGGCAGUGAUGACUGCUGAGGCUGCUUCGGAGUGAUGGUUAGAUCAUGCUGUGACAGUUUCACUCUUUCCCUGU